UUCAAAUUCCAUAUUAUUUACCUCAUUAAAUAAUCUCGAGUUUCUUUACUCGAUAGCAAUUUCUUUACACGAUUCAUCUUGUCACGUUCUUCUCUUUCUUUCUCCUGUCUUUUCUAGUAAAUUGAUUCUCUUUCAAACAAAACCAACCGAAGACGUUACAUAGAUUCGAGUAAAACAACUUCGAAAGAAUAAUGGAUAUCAGUAUCAGUCUAGUUAUAUAAACGAUUAGCAUAAUGGAUUUGGACAUUAACCGAAAACUAUUUCAUAAGAGCUUUGAGACGAUAAAAUUUGGCUGUAUAUCAAAAAAGGAUGAUACAAAAUGUACAACUAUAAUUCAAAAACGCUUGCCUAUAAUAUGCAAAUUAACAGAUCUAUAUAUCGUAUUGUAAUUGCAAUAGAUAUAAUUUAUGAAACAAAUGUGUAAUGCGAAACCUUGAACUUUCAAUGAUACUACAAUUUGUUAG
rnacentral:misc_RNA from 1 species